GGAAAUUGUUGAAACUAAUGAAGUAUCGAAUAAAAGGUUAAAUUGCGUUUAAUCAAAUAACCGUACAUACAGCUGCAUUGAGCUGCAUACAGCGCACAAUGCGAUAAAGGACAGUGCAAGUGUCAUCCAUCGAUCAUAUUAAUAAGCAUUACACUUAUCCAGCAUCCACGAGAAAAAUGUGGAUUUAUUCCAUACUUGUCCUUCUUGGCGUAUUUGACCUCGCGGCUGCUUCCAACGGUUUCGAUUUUGGCGAUACCCUAGCGUUAAUUCUGGGCUUAAUGAUCGGUAUUAUUGGAUUUUUCGCUUGUAUGGGAGCUUAUGCAAGGAAACGAAAUCGCUUCGAAUCGUUAUAAUGGAACUUCUUCAAAUACACAUAUAUUAUAGUAUUAGUACACAACAAUAUAUACUGACCUAUUAUAAUUAUAAAAUAUGGAAGAUAUAAUCUUUGAAGGAAAAUAGUAGAUAUAUAAGAAAAGAGUGCAAUUUGAUAUUUUUUAUACAUAAAGAUAAAGAAACAAGAUAUUGAUUAAAAUGUAUUAUAAUAAUUUCAUUACAUUUAUAUAUGAUACUCAUUGUUAAAAUAAAGAAAAUAGUAACUGAACUCUAUUAUCUUAGGUUAUUUCUUUUUAUGAAUUUACAGUUGCCCAAGCUAUUAUAGUAAAACUAUCACAUCAUUAUAUAAUAGUGUACAAUAAUGUUAAUUGAACUUUUGAUGACACUGACGAGUUUGAUAACUAAAAUGUAUUAACAUGUCUUUCUGUCUUAAUAAUGGCAGUAUAAAAUUUUCUAAAGUCUUUGAAAAAAAAAA